rnacentral:rRNA from 1 species
CCUACGGGAGGCAGCAGUAGGGAAUCUUUCACAAUGGGCGAAAGCCUGAUGGAGCAACGCCGCGUGCAGGAUGAAGGCCUUCGGGUUGUAAACUGCUUUUAUAAGCGAGAAAUAUGAUGGUAACUUAUGAAUAAGGAUCGGCUAACUACGUGCCAGCAGCCGCGGUCAUACGUAGGAUCCGAGCAUUAUCCGGAGUGACUGGGUGUAAAGAGUUGCGUAGGUGGCAUAAUAAGUAGCUAGUGAAAUCUGGUGGCUCAACCAUUCAGACUAUUAGCUAAACUGUUAAGCUCGAGACCGUUAGGGGUAACGGGAAUUUCUAGUGUAGGAGUGAAAUCCGUAGAUAUUAGAAGGAACACCAAUAGCGUAGGCAGGUUGCUGGGACGGUUCUGACACUAAGGCACGAAAGCGUAGGGAGCAAACGGGAUUAGAUACCCCUGUAGUC